rnacentral:rRNA from 1 species
AUUGAACGCUGGCGGCAUGCCUUACACAUGCAAGUCGAACGGUAACGCGGGGCAACCUGGCGACGAGUGGCGAACGGGUGAGUAAUAUAUCGGAACGUGCCCAGUAGUGGGGGAUAGCCCGGCGAAAGCCGGAUUAAUACCGCAUGAGACCUGAGGGUGAAAGCGGGGGAUCGCAAGACCUCGCGCUGUUGGAGCGGCCGAUAUCAGAUUAGCUAGUUGGCGGGGUAAAGGCCUACCAAGGCAACGAUCUGUAGUUGGUCUGAGAGGACGACCAGCAAAACUGGGACUGAGACACGGCCCAGACUCCUACGGGAGGCAGCAGUGGGGAAUUUUGGACAAUGGGCGCAAGCCUGAUCCAGCAAUGCCGCGUGCAGGAAGAAGGCCUUCGGGUUGUAAACUGCUUUUGUCAGGGAAGAAAUCUUCUGGGUUAAUACCUCGGGAGGAUGACGGUACCUGAAGAAUAAGCACCGGCUAACUACGUGCCAGCAGCCGCAGUAAUAC